AUACGGAGGGUGCAAGCGUUACUCGGAACCACUGGGCGUAAAGCGCGCGCAGGCGGCUAUUUAAGUUGGAUGUGAAAGCCUACGGCUCAACCGUAGAACUGCAUCCAAAACUAUUUAGCUAGAGUGUGGGAGAGGAAGAUGGAAUUAGUUGUGUAGGGGUAAAAUCCGUAGAGAUAACUAGGAAUACCAAAAGCGAAGGCAAUCUUCUGGAACACUACUGACGCUGAGGCGCGAAAGCGUGGGGAGCAAACAGGAUUAGAUACCCUAGUAGUCC
rnacentral:rRNA from 1 species